AUAAAUCUUUUGAAAUUUCAACUAAAAAAUUCAGCACAUGAUAUAUCUGGAAAAAUCACCCAGUUAUCUGUUACUGAUAUCAUCCGCUGAAGACUCAGAAGCUGUAUCGUCCAACGUUGAGGUUGAGGCUGUGUCCACAGAGCUACUAUCACAAUCUGAAGAUGCAAGACUUUGGUCCUCUGUCGGUUGUUUCAAGUGCCAAUACAUUAUACUUGCUGUCAGCGAUUUGCACUGCUUCCAUUUUUCUCGCUGUUUUCUUACUCUCUAUACUUGGAUUUGCUACACUUGAGCCGAGGGUCUUUUGAAAACGGUAUCUCUACCUCUACGAGGUAAUGGUAAGGCCUGCGUAUACUUUACCCUCCACAGACCCCAAUUGUGGAUUCCACUGGGUAUGUUGAUGUUGUUAUCCAUUUGAUGAUAAAUUGUUAUCGUGAUGCCAAACUAUAAAUAUUAUGCGUGAAAAUAUCAGGAACCAAUUUAUUUUGUGCACCACCAAGCAAGUAUAUUGACUUGAAUUACUGGAAGCAGGAACCUGUUCAAGUCUAAAA